GUGCGAGCGGAGCGCCCGGCAGACCCCCGGGAGGCGGCGGCGCCGCGCGGCCCCGGAGCGCGACUGCGGCCGGCCCGGGUUUCGGUUGGGCCGCCGGGGACGCCUCUGCCGCCUUGCGGGCGGCCGCGCAGCCGGGGAGGGGCGAGAGCUCCCGCGGCCACGGCGGCGCCCGGAGGGCAGAGUCGGCUUCCGGGUGCUGGCAAUUCCCAGAGAGCGUGGGCUCUGAGUGACCAGGGCAGGUGUUCAGUAACCCCCUAGUUCAACAAGUCUGACAGGUGUGAGGUGAUAUCUCCUUGUGUUUUGAUUCGCAUUUUCCUGAUGUGUCCUUACCAAGAGGCACUGCCAUUCAGACGGCUGCACAAGGCAGAAAAUGGAGGGGUCGUCCUGGAUGCCUCCCUCUUGUUUUCUAAUUCUUUGAAUUGGUGGAACACUUAAAAGAGGGUGGAGGAUGCUUGCUGCUCGGCUGCCCAGAAGAAUUGUGGCUGUCGCUGAUAAUCCUGACUGACCAGGAGCAAGGAAAGCCUGCCAGACCUUCCCUGGUUCCUAGACAAUGGACUUAAUGCUGAUUAAACUUGCCAAAUUUCCUAGUCACUGAAUUUUGGACUUAAAAAAAAAAAAAAACCCUAUAAAAACAAGAAACCAAACCAGAAACAAAAAUAAGUAUUGAUUUCUUGAUGAAUGCAUAGUGACUGAUUUAAAAACUGUGUAUAUUCCAAAAGUUACUGAUUCAUGUAAUACAUUUGAUCUAUGCAAGGGUAACAACGAUUGAGAAUUAAAACUAAAUCCCCUUUUGGGUCUGGUAAAGCCACUUGGUCUCCCUAAACUAAGGUCUGCCUGCCUUUAGUUUCUCUUUAAAAACACCCCAAGACAUAAUCUGUCAUGUCUAAGUUUUCCAUCAAGAUUAAGGUUCAUGACCUUUUCUUUCAAAAAGUUAAGUAUCAAGAGUAGUGAUUCCUACUCUUAAAUCAAAAUGCCAUUUAGGAUUACAACUGAUUACUGCCUCAAACAUUCCAGAGUAUUAUUUACAUAAAUCAGUGCCUUUUAAAAAUCAUAGUUAGGACCCUGUCUAAAGUGACUCUAGUCCAUCUGGAUACACUAAUUCAGCCAACUUUUGGUAGCUACAAGAGUUAAGUGAAGGCUACUAAAAGCCCCGAACAACAGGCUAGCUCUUUAGAGUUAGAGACCAAAUAUUUUUCAUUAAAGACAGAAAAAAAUUGAUUUUGGCUCAAAAUCUUAAAAGAGUAUCAGAGUAAUAUACUCUAAGCAGAAUAUCUGUAUGGAAUAAAGAAUCCAUAGUGAUAAAUUAAUGUUUGGUAUAAACUUUUUUCUGAGAAUAUGAAUGUUUAUGAGUAGUUUCUCUUUCCCUCUAAAAGGGAGUUUUCUCAAUCUAGUGGCUUAAAUAAAUUUGUAACUUCUGAGUUCAUUAAUGUAAGUGUAUUUUUGCAUGUUGAAGACCAUGAGAUCAUAUGGACCAUUUUAGCACACUCUAGGUUUUUCUAGUCUGGCCAAUUUGAAUCAGAAAACUGGGUUAAGUCACCAAUUAUUAUUAUGCAGUCAGAAUCCAGUCAUGACCUUUCACAUCUUCGCACUAGAUAACGUAAUUUUUUUUUAAGCCCAGAAUUGCUGUGAGAAUCACAUGCAACUAAAGAAAACUCAUCUCAACUGGAUUUUGUUAAGUUUUAACAAAAUUACCGGAGUUUUACUAUAACAUAACUAGCAUCCUUUAGAUAUUCUUAGCUAUUCCUCUUCAGAAAUAAUUUGCUGCUAAAUUGGCAGUAAGAGAUCAAAUACACAAAAGCUUGUUGAAGCUCAUCAGUCACUAUCCUGCUGGUCACUCUGUGGAAGAACUUUGUUUUUUGAAUGUUAGAAAGUUUUUCACCCACUGUAUGUACAAUCUCAUUUAUGAUGUAGAUUGCUUUUCAUCUUAUUUUGGUAGGCUCAGUCAGCAUCUGUACACAUUUUACAACAAAAUUUGUUCCAUUACUUUGUCAUUCAAGAAAAGAAUUAUUCUGAAAAUAAUUUAAGAAUAUAACAUAAGAGCCCUUUUCUUAAUUUGGAAAGCU